rnacentral:rRNA from 1 species
AGAGUUUGAUCAUGGCUCAGAAUCAACGCUGGCGGCGUGCCUAACACAUGCAAGUCGAACGCGAGAGGGGCUUCGGCCCCAAUUGAGUGGCGAACGGGUGAGUAACGCGUGGGUGACCUACCUUCGAGUGGGGGAUAACGUCCCGAAAGGAACGCUAAUACCGCAUAACAUCCUCUUUUUGAACAGAGGGAGAUCAAAGCCGGGGAUCGCAAGACCUGGCGCUUGAUGAGGGGCCCGCGUCUGAUUAGCUAGUUGGUGGGGUAAUGGCUCACCAAGGCGACGAUCAGUAUCCGGCCUGAGAGGGCGGACGGACACACUGGGACUGAGACACGGCCCAGACUCCUACGGGAGGCAGCAGUGGGGAAUUGUUCGCAAUGGGCGCAAGCCUGACGACGCAACGCCGCGUGGAGGAUGAAGGUCUUCGGAUUGUAAACUCCUGUUGCCCGGGACGAAUAGCUUCGACCUAACACGUCGGAGUAUGACGGUACCGGGUGAGGAAGCCCCGGCUAACUCUGUGCCAGCAGCCGCGGUAAUACAGAGGGGGCAAGCGUUGUUCGGAAUUACUGGGCGUAAAGGGCGCGUAGGCGGCCUGUUAAGUCGAACGUGAAAUCCCCGGGCUCAACCCGGGAACUGCGUCCGAUACUGGCUGGCUUGAAUCCGGGAGAGGGAUGUGGAAUUCCAGGUGUAGCGGUGAAAUGCG